rnacentral:rRNA from 1 species
GAUGAACGCUGGCGGCGUGCCUAAUACAUGCCAGUCGAGCGAACAGACGAGGAGCUUGCUCCUCUGACGUUAGCGGCGGACGGGUGAGUAACACGUGGAUAACCUACCUAUAAGACUGGGAUAACUUUGGGAAACCGGAGCUAAUACCGGAUAAUAUAUUGAACCGCAUGGUUCAAUAGUGAAAGACGGUUUUGCUGUCACUUAUAGAUGGAUCCGCGCCGCAUUAGCUAGUUGGUAAGGUAACGGCUUACCAAGGCAACGAUGCGUAGCCGACCUGAGAGGGUGAUCGGCCACACUGGAACUGAGACACGGUCCAGACUCCUACGGGAGGCAGCAGUAGGGAAUCUUCCGCAAUGGGCGAAAGCUUUACGGAGCAACGCCGCGUGAGUGAUGAAGGUCUUCGGAUCGUAAAACUCUGUUAUUAGGGAAGAACAAAUGUGUAAGUAACUAUGCACGUCUUGACGGUACCUAAUCAGAAAGCCACGGCUAACUACGUG